rnacentral:rRNA from 1 species
CCUACGGGUGGCAGCAGUGGGGAAUAUUGGGCAAUGGGCGCAAGCCUGACCCAGCAACGCCGCGUGCAGGAAGAAGGCUUUCGGGUUGUAAACUUCUUUUCUCAGGGACGAAGCAAGUGACGGUACCUGAGGAAUAAGCCACGGCUAACUACGUGCCAGCACCCGCGGUAAUACGUAGGUGGCAAGCGUUAUCCGGAUUUACUGGGUGUAAAGGGCGUGUAGGCGGGACUGCAAGUCAGAUGUGAAAACCACGGGCUCAACCUGUGGCCUGCAUUUGAAACUGUAGUUCUUGAGUACUGGUGAGGCAGACGGAAUGGAUAGUGUAGCGGUGAAAUGCGUAGAUAUUAGGAGGAACACCAGUGGCGAAGGCGGUCUGCCGGACAGCAACUGACGCUGAGGCGCGAAAGCGUGGGGAGCAAACAGGAUUAGAUACCCCUGUAGUC